UCUCGAUUGGUCUAGUGGUCAGGAUACCUGCUUGUCAUUGGUUCUCCAUCAAUAUCGCAGGUGGCCGGGGUUCGAUUCCCCGAUCGAGAG